CACACUAUAGUUUAUUAAAAACAUCGACCUGCAAAAUCGAGAAAGGAGAAUAAAAUCCUGGUGUGU
rnacentral:tRNA from 1 species